rnacentral:lncRNA from 1 species
UGUGCUAUCAACCCCGCUGGAUGUACUAGCCAAACACUGAGAAGUGGAUGGUCUAGACAUCUCUGUCUUCUGAAGAUGAUAUAGUUCAUUGUGAACGUGCCCCUUUCCAAUCACUUGGCCUGUCUUUAAGUCUUGAAAUUCAACCUCAUCUGGUCUGAAGACAACCUGACAACUCAGAUCAACAGUAGCCUUUCUCACAGAUAGCAAGUUUGAUGUAAACUGAGGCAUAUAUAAGGCAGUAGAUUUCCUAUCAAACAACCUCAGGUUCCCUAUCCCUUCUAUCUUAAUCUUAUCACCAUUUGCUAUUUGAACAUUCCCUGAGGCAGGCUGGACAUCACU